GACGAACGCUGGCGGCGUGCUUAACACAUGCAAGUCGAACGGAAAGGCCCUGCUUUUGUGGGGUGCUCGAGUGGCGAACGGGUGAGUAACACGUGAGUAACCUGCCCUUGACUUUGGGAUAACUUCAGGCAACUGGGGCUACUACCGGAUAGGAGCUCCUGCUGCCUGGUGGGGGUUGGAAAGUUUCGGCGGUUGGGGAUGGACUCGCGGCUUAUCAGCUUGUUGGUGGGGUAGUGGCUUACCAAGGCUUUGACGGGUAGCCGGCCUGAGAGGGUGACCGGCCACAUUGGGACUGAGAUACGGCCCAGACUCCUACGGGAGGCAGCAGUGGGGAAUAUUGCACAAUGGGCGGAAGCCUGAUGCAGCAACGCCGCGUGCGGGAUGACGGCCUUCGGGUUGUAAACCGCUUUCGCCUGUGACGAAGCGUGAGUGACGGUAAUGGGUAAAGAAGCACCGGCUAACUACGUG
rnacentral:rRNA from 1 species